rnacentral:rRNA from 1 species
AUUGAACGCUGGCGACAGGCCUAACACAUGCAAGUCGAGCGAGCGGCGGACGGGUGAGUAAUGUAUGGGGACUGCCCGAUAGAGGGGGAUCACUACUGGAAACGGUGGCUAAUACCGCAUACUAUCGGAUAACCCAUAUGGGAUUCGCUAGUAGGGGGGGUAAAGGCUCACCUAGGCGACGAUCUCUAUCUGGUCUGAGAGGAUGAUCAGCCACACUGUGACUGAGACACGGCCCAGACUCCUACGGAGGAAGCAGUGGGGAAUAGUGCAUAAUGGGCGCAAGCCUGAUGCAGCCAUGCCGCGUGUAUGAAGAAGGCCUUAGGGUUGUAAAGUACUGUCAGCGGGGAGGCGUUACCCGCAGAAGAAGCACCGGCUAACUCCGUGCCAGCAGCCGCGGUAAUUC